CAAUAGCGUAUAUUAAAGUUGUUGCAGUUAAAAAGCUCGUAGUUGGAUUUCUGGUGGGAGCGAUCGGUCUGGCGCUUAGCGCGAGUACUUGCAUCGUCUCCGGCCAUCCUUGGGGAGAGUCUGUCUGGCAUUAGGUUGUCGGGCAGAGGAUCUUCAUCGUUUACUGUGAAAAAAUUAGAGUGUUCAAAGCAGGCUUAUGCCGUUGAAUAUAUUAGCAUGGAAUAAUAAGAUAGGACUUUGGUACUAUUUUGUUGGUUUGCGCACCAAAGUAAUGAUUAAUAGGGACAGUUGGGGGUAUUCGUAUUCCGUUGUCAGAGGUGAAAUUCUUGGAUUUACGGAAGACGAACUACUGCGAAAGCAUUUGCCAAGGAUGUUUUCAUUAA
rnacentral:rRNA from 1 species